rnacentral:miRNA from 1 species
UAUUAGGUUGGUGCAAAAGUAAUUGUGGUUUUUGCCAUUACUUUUGAUGACAAAACCUGCAAUUACUUUUUCACCAACCUAAUAUUAA